rnacentral:ncRNA from 2 species
CAAUCUAUAUGUAACUGGCGUAGCAUGGAUUACCAUGAGGGAGCAUAUAGAAAUUCGUCGUACGUCUGGGCAGGUAUU